CAGCCUUCACAGCAGAGGGGACAAAACAAGUGGCAGACAGGAUGCAGAUACCAUACAACUGUCAGCGGAACUUAGGGCUUCUUAUAAAGAGGUCUAAAUGUGUGUACGAUGGUCAAAGCCUCGUCAGUGACAUUCUAUGCUUGCUGUGUUCAUUGUGUUCUGUAUAGGCGCUGUGGAGUAAUGAGCUUGUCCCUUGUGUUGUUCAGAGCCGAAAGCUAAUUCCACGGAGCAGAAUCUCUUUUGAGAAGAUGAAAACUGCUCAGCUAAUCAAGAAAUUCAUCGCCGUUUAUUAAGUCCGAUGGUUUAUUGUUAUUUUCUAUCCCGCACCAUUUUAAAUCCGGUCCACACAUUCCCACUCUUCAUAUUCACGAUCCAUUCAAUAUGAUCCUCUCUUCUACAAAUAGGCCUCCUCAGAGGUCUCUACUUUUCAGACUUUCCUUUUAUAACUGUGUUUGCAUUUCUCAUGUUUAUGUGCUAGCAGCAUUCCGCCAAUCAAUUAAAUAUGUAACAUUAUUGUCGUCGAAAAUAAUUGCCGUUUUCCCACUUGGUCGCUGAAGCGACUGGGACGGGGUACAUGGAGAGUAGCUGUACAGACCUGCAGAAGUUAGAAGCCUCCUUGAAGACACAGACCUAUCUUCCGUGUCUAAAACAGCCAACAUUGCAGUGGCGUGAAUCUUCGAUGUCGUGUUCAUUUCAUGCGCCAACGAGACAGGUUAUAAGUUAGAUGUAAGAUUGUCGUGGUAAAUAAAAGCAAACAUAUAUAGUC